AGAAGUUUAGGUUAAAAAGACCAAGAGCCUUCAAAGCUCUAAGUAAGCAUUCCUACACUUAACUUCUG
rnacentral:tRNA from 1 species